AGUGAGAAGAAAUGAUGGCAUGUUUGUACCAUCUCAUGGCUGUUAAUCCUUGAGUAAUCCUUUGUGUGUAUCCCUCAGAAAGCAAUGACUUUUCACUCCGAUUCAAUGCUGUCAUCCUGACUUACCUGCUGUUUAAGAAGUCAAUAAAGGAGCAAGCACGCUCACUUCCUGGCUCUUGAAAAGGAGUUUGGCUGGCUGUUUAUCUAUGUCAACACUUUAGAAGUAAAACACAUAGAGAGAACAGUACAAAGAAGGCAGAAGACAAAACGGGUGGAGGGUGACCACCUCCGACAGAGGCUGAGGAGCUGGCCCUGAGUAUAAAUUCUGCCUUGAUAUCUAUCGGAUUGCGAAGAAAUAGACAACCCAUGUCUGGCAGCUUGCUUCAGGUUGGAGGAGACCGAUAGAAACUCAGGGUUUCUUAAAGAAAACUUGCCAGCGAACAGGUUAUGUUCACAGAGUCGGUUACCAUGGUGACUGACUCAGAGUUCAGUUACCUCUUUCUGGAACGGAUAACAGUUUCCCUCAUCUCAGGGUUAAUUUAUGGGGCUUUUCCACUAUACAGUUCUAGCACUACUCGACUCAGUUUUUUUUUAGUUUCCAUUAGGGAUAGUACCUGGUACCUGGUACUUUUUUAGUACCUGCUCUGCCGAGGAUUCAAGUGAGCCGAGCCGAUACUAAAUGUGACGUCAACAGACUGCCGGCCACUGAGUGUCGUCACUGGAAGAGUCUUGAGCCACCAGACACAAGAAUCAAACCCGCCAUUUUUAAAUACUGGCAACAGCGUUACAGUGAUUUGGCUCGAUUUUCUUGCUUUGGUGGUGACAAAAAACCACAUACACAUACAAGUACACCAUGUCCUCCAUUGUUUGUGUUUGUGUCGCAUAUAAAACAAAGUCACGGCAGUUUCACGCAGCCGUGCUAUGACGACCCCGCCCACGUUGAGUAGGUACUAUAGUAAUGGAAAAGGUCGUUUCAGGUACCAAGUUGAGUUGAGCCGGGUAGUGCUAGAACUGUAUAAUGGAAAAGCGCCGUUACUCAGUUUUCCACAUAACCCGCUUUCUGGAAUACCCCCCAGUUCCAAUAUUGAGCUGCUGCAGCUAGCUAAAACCGUUAAAGUGAUUAUAUCCAGCCUGUGUGUGGACAUUAGCAACGCCAGAUCUUUCCUUCUUGGAAGUCAGUGCUGGGUGGCAGGCUGGGGUAAGGGAAGCAAAAGCACAGGAGGAUCAGGGUGGCCCUCUGCCAUGCAAGUCAGGUUCAUCUUGGUUCCAGGUGGCCGUUGUAUCUACUGGUGGAAGCAAAUCUCUCCAUGCAGACAUUCAGAUCUUUGCCAAAACUUCAAGAUUUGGGUCAUUCUUAAAGGAGACAGUGGGCUACAUGUAUGGCCAUCUCCUGCUGCCACAGGAGCAGCAGAUUUCUCUGUGUCCUCGUUCCUGUCCUUCUUUGUCCCCAUUACAUCCAUGUUCCUGUUUUAAGCUUUUAAGUCUGUUGUCAGGGGGACUAGAAAGAAGUAGUUAAUUCUUGCACUUAAAAGUCAACUGACCGCUCUCAAUUAGCCUAAUUUAUAUUCUGUAAAUGCUCUUACAGUAACUCAGGUCAAGCAGAAGAAAAUGUUGCAUUAUAAGGCACUUCCAAAAGGCUUAUCAUUUUUAUAACAAUGAAAGAUUUUCUGUAAUAUCAUGGACUAUUUUAAAAUCCAAUGUCUGUUUCUAAAUGUUUCACUGAAUCUGGCUAAAUGAAGGUCAACCUUUGUUAAUUAUUCUCUACUCAUUUAUACGUCCAUUGUCUUUCUACUUAAAAAUGUCAUGAUGAACUUUGUAUGAGGUUACUUUUCAAGAAAUCUGUCAUUUUAAUCACAUAUGAAAUAAACAUUCAU